rnacentral:rRNA from 1 species
UCGCGUGAAGGAAGAAGGUUCUAUGGAUUGUAAACUUCUUUUGUAAGGGAAUAAGAUGAGCUACGUGUAAUGUUUUGUAUGUACCUUACGAAUAAGGAUCGGCUAACUCCGUGCCAGCAGCCGCGGUAAUACGGAGGAUCCAAGCGUUAUCCGGAUUUAUUGGGUUUAAAGGGUGCGUAGGCGGACCUAUAAGUCAGUGGUGAAAGUUUGCAGCUCAACUGUAAAAUUGCCAUUGAAACUGUGGGUCUUGAGUGUAAAUAAGGUAGGCGGAAUGUGUUGUGUGUCGGUGAAAUGCUUACAUAUAACANAUGACACCAAUUGCGAAGGCAGCUUACUGGGAUACAACUGACGCUGAGGCACGAAAGCGUGGGGAUCAAACAGGAUUAGAUACCCUGGUAGUCCACGCAGUAAACGAUGAAUACUANCUGUAUGCGAUAUACUGUAUGUGGC